rnacentral:lncRNA from 1 species
GUAAAAAGAAAACAGUAUUGCUAUAGAAGCUAGAAUUGAAGAGAAGGAAUAGGGAGAAGAGAGAGAGAGAAAAUGAACAACUAAAUCAAAGAGGAAAGAAAGUUGUUCAUCUAAUUUGCCUACAACUAUGAAGUGAGUUAAUUGAUCUAGAUGCAGGGAGGAGACUUGGCACUGAUUCCCAGAGCCUCUAUAAAGACAUGGAUGCUGAGG